ensembl:lncRNA
CUUGUGACCUUGCUUUCCCCAUUACUUGUUACCUUGCUUUCCCCAUUACUUGUUACCUUGCUUUCCCCAUUACUUGUUACCUUGCUUUCCCCAUUACUUGUUACCUUGCUUUCGCCAUUACUUGUGACCUUGCUUUCGCCAUUACUUGUGACCUUGCUUUCCCCAUUACUUGUGACCUUGCUUUCGCCAUUACUUGUGACCUCGCUUUCGCCAUUACUUGUGACCUUGCUUUCUUCCCUACACUUUAUCUACAGUAACCUCCACUCUAGGUAUGGCUGAAAUAUGACAUGCUCUAAAUGUGUCUCAACCAGACCACUCCUACUCUGCUCUGCUGCUUGUGCUGUAGAUGGAACAUAAUGGUACUGUAAUGACAAGCUGUAACCUGCUGCUUCUACAUACUAAGCCUUGACUAACUUCCUAUAUAGCUAUGGCUCUCUGAAAUGGAAUGUAGUUAUUUAUUCAUAGGAAAUAAUUGAUAAGGAAUUGAUAAGAUUCGAUUGGUCAGUUUUUUGUUGUUGUUUUUUUUUAAAUGUAGUCUGGAGUUAACUAAGGGACUUGUCACCAAGAUUGAUUGAUUGCUUUGCCCUGAUCAUUUUGGUCUGAAAUCUAUCAGUUACCACAGUACGGUGUCUCUCCGUCAGAGCUCUUUCUCUCUUUGUGUCAUAGUUUAUUUUUACUUGGCUCUGUUAGAGCUAAUAGGGGAAGUGUUUAUGUGGCAAAAUAGUCGUGGCCAUCAUGAUGCUCGUAUACCUUUUAACACACACUUAAAAGGAAGUGUUUACACAUAUAAACAUAUGUACCAGAGUGUGUUUUCUCUGACGUAUGUGUUUUUAUUAUCCGGUGUUAAUGCAUAAAGCUAUGCAUGUGUGUGUCUAUGUAUGGUUUUAUCAUCGUCCCUGUAGGUUUGAGCCUCCAUUGUCCCUUAAGGUACGACUGUGUUAUAGCAAUAAAACCAACUGAACUAUAUUUUCCCAAUUAAAUAUAUCUGAAAUGGUUGUUCAGAGAGGGGUGACGCAACAAAGUGUAUUUUCUUAAUGUUUACAAUCAACUAAUAAACAUCUCAAUGAACA